rnacentral:rRNA from 1 species
AUGAAGAUACCUCUUAAGAAUAAAAUCUUUGUAUGGUAUCUUCAUCGCGGAGUCAUUUUUACUAAAGAUAACCUUAUUAAGAGGAAUUGGCAUGGAAGCCCGCAAUGUGUAUUUUGUCACCAUGAGGAGACAAUAAAACAUUUAUUCUUUCAAUGUAAAUUGGCUCGUUCUAUAUAA